rnacentral:tRNA from 2 species
GCCGGGGUAGCUCAGUGGUAGAGCGGCGGCCUGAAAAGCCGCGCGUGGGGAGUCCGAUUCUCCCCUCCGGCA